rnacentral:rRNA from 1 species
AAAUGAAUAGACGGGGGCCCGCACAAGCAGUGGAGUAUGUGGUUUAAUUCGACGCAACGCGAAGAACCUUACCAAAGCUUGACAUAAAUAGGAAUAACAUGGAAGCAUGUUAGUCGUAAGACCUAUUUACAGGUGAUGCAUGGUUGUCGUCAGCUCGUGUCGUGAGAUGUUGGGUUAAGUCCCGCAACGAGCGCAACCCUCGUGAUCAGUUGCCAGCAGUAAGAUGGGAACUCUGGUCAGACUGCCGUAGAUAAUACGGAGGAAGGAGAGGAUGACGUCAAAUCAUCACGUCCCUUAUGUUUUGGGCAACACACGUACUACAAUGGGUAUAACAGAAAGAAGCAAAGCAGCAAUGCCAAGCAAAACUAAAAAAAAUACCCUCAGUUCGGAUUGGAGGCUGCAACUCGCCUCCAUGAAGCCGGAAUUGCUAGUAAUCACAGGUCAGAAUACUGUGGUGAAUACGUUCCCGGGCCUUGUACACACCGCCCGU